CAGAGAGACACACUGCCACCAGCACAAAUACUGCGACCCCAACCUAGGGCUUCGGGUCCAGCAGAAGGGCACCUCAGAAACAGACACCAUCUGCACCUGUGAAGAAGGCCGGCACUGUACGAGUGAGGCCUGUGAGAGCUGUGUCCUGCACCGCUCAUGCUCGCCCGGCUUUGGGGUCAAGCAGAUUGCUGUGAGACCAAAGACCUGGUUGUGCAACAGGCAGGCACAAACAAGACUGAUGUUGUCUGUGGUGAGUCGUGGACAAUGGGCCCUGGAGAAAGCCUAGGAAGGUGGGAACUGAAGGGGGAGAUGAGGCACACAGGAACACUGGAUGGGAAAAGGGGGAGGGGAGGCAGUUUGGGGGUGUGGUAUCACAGCUCUGCCACUUAUCUUGGGAGUCUGGGCAAAUCACUUCCCCUCUGUUAGCCUCAGUUUCUUCAUCUGUAAAAUGGGAUGAUAACAGCACUUCCUUAGUAGGUUUUGAUUUUAGAGUGAGAAGGUUGGCCUACAGUAAAGAUCAGAUAAUGUAAAUCAGUGAAAAAGGUCAGGGGUAAGAAAAUUACAUUCUCUUUACCUAAUGCUAAAUGACCAGUUAAUGGGUGCAGCACACCAACAUGGUACAUGUAUACAUAUGUAACAAACCUGCACAUUAUGCACAUGUACCCUAAAGCUUAAAGUAUAAUAAUAAUAAAAUUAAAAAAAAAGAAAAA
rnacentral:sRNA from 1 species